GAUCAUGGCUCAGGAUGAACGCUGGCGGCGUGCUUAAUACAUGCAAGUCGAACGAAGCACCUUGGACAGAAUCUUUCGGGAUGAAGACCAUUGUGACUGAGUGGCGGACGGGUGAGUAACGCGUGGGUAACCUGCCUUGUACAGGGGGAUAACAGUUGGAAACGACUGCUAAUACCGCAUAAGCGCACAGUACCGCAUGGUACGGUGUGAAAAACUCCGGUGGUACAAGAUGGACCCGCGU
rnacentral:rRNA from 1 species